AGUGAACGCUGGCGGUAGGCCUAACACAUGCAAGUCGAACGGCAGCACAGUAAGAGCUUGCUCUUACGGGUGGCGAGUGGCGGACGGGUGAGGAAUACAUCGGAAUCUACUUUUUCGUGGGGGAUAACGUAGGGAAACUUACGCUAAUACCGCAUACGACCUACGGGUAAAGCCAGGGGAUCUCCGGACUUUGGCGGAUGGAUGAGCCGAUGUCGGAUUAGCUAGUUGGCGGGGUAAAGGCCCGCCAAGGCGACGAUCCGUAGCUGGUCUGAGAGGAUGAUCAGCCACACUGGAACUGAGACACGGUCCAGACUCCUACGGGAGGCAGCAGUGGGGAAUAUUGGACAAUGGGCGCAAGCCUGAUCCAGCCAUACCGCGUGGGUGAAGAAGGCCUUCGGGUCGUAAAGCCCUUUUGUUGGGAAAGAAAAGCAGCAGGUUAAUACCCCGCUGUUCUGACGGUACCCAAAGAAUAAGCACCGGCUAACUUCGUG
rnacentral:rRNA from 1 species